rnacentral:lncRNA from 1 species
UGCGGAAGCUACAGCUCAGGUUCUGAUGAACCUGGCUCUGAUACCAUGUGAUUUUAAAGAGAUCUCUACUCUUGUAGUAUGUGUGUGUGGAUAAGCUCCAAUGGAGAAUGAUUAGAGCUUGUUCUAGGUGAUUUAGAAGAGAGGUUGAUGAGAGUGUAUAAGAGACUUAAGAACAAAGAUAAAGAGACUUAGGAACAGAGAUUAAGAGACUAGAGAGACUGAGAGAAUAAGUGUUUCAGAUUCAUGAAGGAGAAGGGAAACCCCCUUACUCACUUAAGUGUUUACAAUCGCAUAUACAAGGCUUUUAUAUGCCUUUACAUUUUCACUCAUAAACCCUACAUCCUAAGGCUGUAAAUAAAUGAUAGAAUGGAUGGUAAGGAUGAGAGAAGACUGGUCUUGAUGUUGCUGGAGCUAGCUGGCGAAUUGAUUCAAAUAGAAGGCUCAGAUUGCUUCUUUUGAAUGAAUGGAUAGGAUGAGUCAAGGCUGUAAAGGUAAAGCACCUUUACCUUUCCAGCUCAUACCAACAGCUCACCUUAUCCAUUUGAAUCUUCCUUUGCCUCCAAGGCACUCCAACGUACACUUAAGGAAGCUUAUCCCGCGCCCACACAUUGCACAACUUGACUUGAUGCAGAACUGGAUGAAUGGAUGAGGCUUGGUGUUGUACGGUCUCUUGUACGGCUUGUACCAUCCGUACACUCGCCCUAAUUAUGCACAACACUUCCCCUCCUCUUUACUUGAUCCAUUCCUCUUCUUGAUUCGCUCAUGGCCUUAUCAUUCUCCCAAGCUUUGC